AUUGAACGCUGGCGGCAGGCUUAACACAUGCAAGUCGAGCGGGGAAAGGUAGCUUGCUACCUGACCCAGCGGCGGACGGGUGAGUAAUGCUUAGGAAUCUGCCUAUUAGUGGGGGACAAAAUUCCGAAAGGAAUGCUAAUACCGCAUACGCCCUACGAGGGAAAGCAGGGGAUCUUCGGACUUUGCGCUAAUAGAUGAGCCAAAGUCAGAUUAGCUAGUUGGUGGGGUAAAGGCCUACAAAGGCGACGAUCUGUGGCGGGUCUGAGAGGAUGAUCCGCCACACUGGGACUGAGACACGGCCCAGACUCCUACGGGAGGCAGCAGUGGGGAAUAUUGGACAAUGGGCGAAAGCCUGAUCCAGCCAUGCCGCGUGUGUGAAGAAGGCCUUUUGGUUGUAAAGCACUUUAAGCGAGGAGGAGGCUACCGAGAUUAAUACUCUUGGAUAGUGGACGUUACUCGCAGAAUAAGCACCGGCUAACUCUGUGCCAGCAGCCGCGGUAACAC
rnacentral:rRNA from 1 species